rnacentral:lncRNA from 1 species
AAGUAAAAAGAUAAGUCCUUCCUCACAAGAUUUGGGUUAUGUGAGGGAAUAAUAAUAUUGCCUAACACCAUGCUUGAUACAUCAACAAAUCUAUUUUCUGCUGCCUUUAUAUGGGGCUAGUUUAUAUUUUAGGUGAAAGUUUUGGAAGAGCCACUAAUGAAAAUUUAGAAACAUAAAGGCCUAAGUGUUGAAAGGUAGUUCUAAUGGCUCAUGAAAUUGUUAACUCUUAGACCCUAAGUUCUAUAACUUGAGAUAUUGGAAAACUGGAGGGAGGACUUUAGGGCAUUUUCAGAGUCCCACCAUGAGGUAUGUCCCUGAUACACAGCUUCUUCCAGACCACACACUGCCUUGAACACGAGCUGGAUCUCCUUUAUUCAUUAAGCCCCAUUUAUCCCGUAGUUUCCACCCUUAAUGCCUUACUCCCUCCUUAACUUAUUGGAGUUAAAGUGUUGACAGUGGAUAAUAAAAUACUCCCUACCACACCUCCAACUUUUUAACUGCUCCCUUUAGUACUUGUUACCCAAAGAAAUGACCAAUUACAUGAAACGGCCCAAUUCCUUACUUCUCAAUUGUUGCUUGACAUGCACCUGUGGGCAUCCAGUAGUUUAUACUUUGGGAAAUGGAAAAUGAGAAUUGGUCAGAGCAGAAUGCAUACUAUUUCAGACAUGUCUCUUCCUGUUGUUGGGUUAGAAUGAGAGUUAAAAAAGAAAAGCAGUUUGUUUGUUUUUUUAUGAUUUUUGUUUUUUCCUUUAUAGCUGGUUUACAGUGUUUUGUCAAUUUCCCACUGUACAGCAUGGUGACCCAGUUACAUGCACAUGUAUACAUUCUUUUUCUCACAUUAUCGUGCUCCAUCAUAAGUGACCAGACAUAGUUCACAGUGCUACACAGCAGAAUCUCAUUGCUGAUCUGUUCCAAAGGUGAUAGUCUGCGGCCCUAAAAAAGAAUGAAAUAAUGCCAUUUGCAGCAACAGGAUGGGAGUAGAGACUCUCAUACUGAGUGAAGUAAGUCUGAAAGAGAAAGACAAAUACCAUAUGAUAUCAAUUACAUCUGGAAUCUAAUAUAUGCAAAUGAACCUUUCCACAGAAAAGAAAAUCAUGGUCUUGGUGAAUAGACUUAAGAAAAACAGUUUUAACUCCUGUUUAUAAAAAACAUUAGUGAAGUGCUGAGGGGAUGUGUACUAUUUGCAUCCUUCCUAUUUAAUAUUUUAUUGCUCUAAGGCAUGAGAAAGAGUAGCAGUGGCAGAGAGAACCUGGGGCAGAUCUGAUCAGGCUUCCCUCUUACUGUUUCUCUUCUAGUACUUCUUACUCUAAGAAAGAGAAUACUUUCUGUAUAGAUUCCCCCUUAUCAAGUUGAGUGAGCCCACACUCUUGAGUUGUGCAGGAGUAAAAAGUUACACAAACAGUGGCAUUGAAGGCUACCUGAGGACUUGGGUUCUGGUAUGACUGUCUGCACCAUAGACAGCACACAAGGUCAAAGAACCAGGAGAGGGAGGAUCAUGGGCCCAGUCAUAGGGACUCUGAUUGAGGAAAGUGGAUCUUCACAGUGGAUUGGCUGGUAGAAAGCUCAGGACCUCUACACCGUAUACAAACUUAAUGUUCUGUUAUUUGUACCCAGGGAUACAGAUGAUAAAGUUUUACAAAUCAAUGUGUUUUUUCCUCUAUCCCCCCUUACCUGUGUUUGUAGGAACUUGUUAUCAUGAGAACUAGAGGGAGGGAGGCAGCACACAAAUUUUUCCAGGAAAGAUGUCCAAGAAAGCCACAUUUUCUGAAAGUAGGGACCUGGAACUCAUGAAAGAGUAUCCUGAUGUGGAUAUUGUACAAAAAAAGAAAUUACAUGUUCUGCCUGGCUUCUGGUUGCCAGGGCCCUGUCUCCCAGGCUCUUGGGAAUCCCAAAGGCCAGUGGUGGCUUGGCCUAAUGGGCUUGUUUGGUGGAUCCAGCUGUACCCUGGAUCUAGCAGUUUUUUCCUUUGAUCAAACCUUUGCCUUGUGAAAAUAAAGAAGUAAAUAGCCCAGUUCCAGAAGCUAGAAGCACAUCUUUUCCCCUGAUUCAAGGAAGAGGAAUUCUCCCUUGUCUUCUCUGAAUCUGAACCUCUGCUGUCUUCUGGGGUCUGGUCUCUGCUUCACCACCCUUUGCCUCAAGCCCCAGAGCCCCGCCUUGAAUCCAGUGCAUCUGAAUACUCUCUUCUCAAUAUCCUGCACAGGGGUGGGUAAGUGUGAGUGGUAAAUGCAUCUUAUUUCUAGCUGUUCAUUAGCUUUGUUUCUUUGCUGCUUAUUGUCAUGGAAAAGUAUAAGCUACCCCACCUGAAGUGUUUAACCUUCUAACAAAGCUUCCAGCUUUAAUGCAGAUUGAUCCCAUUUGAAAAUUCUCUGUGCCAAGUGCCCUUUUUUUUACUGAGGUAGCCGGAUUUUUAUUGCCAGAAUACCUUCAUCAUACUGACUCAUUUUUGUAACUUCCAUUCUUAUAACUAUUAAAUUUUCUACCAAUAAAACUUUAGUUUUUUUUAUUUUUUCAUGCUUUUUGAUAGACCAGUUCAUUCUGUGUUACAUUGGCUAUUUCUGAGAUUUGGGGUCAUCAAGACAUAUGUGACACACAUGUAUUUUGGACCUAGGCUGGCAUUUUCAUUUAGAGACAAGACAAGGAAGAUGCAAUACUAUGUGGGUGCCUCUGUUCUCUAGUUUUUCCAUUUAGAAUGGAUAAGCAAUGAGGUCCUACUGUACAGCGCAGGGAACUAUAUCCAGUCUCUUGGAGAGACCGUGAUGGAUGAUAGUAUGAAGAAAGGAAUGUAUACACACAUAUACACAUACACACACAACUGAGUCAUUUUGCUGUAUAGCAGAAAUUGGCACAACACUGUAAAUCAGCUAUACUUUAAUAAAAAUAAAGAAAUGGAAUUUUUCCCUAGUAUACUUGAACUUUGAACUAAUAUUUGAGUACGGGUAGGACUCAAAUAUUAUUAGCCAGUUACUUCAGUCAUUUAAAUACCAAAGUUUUGUGUAUCCUUUGCUACUUUUUGUUCAACAAAAAUUGGGGCAAACAUUUUCUUUGAAAAGAGGUGGUCCUUGUUACCUAUCAAAAGAUUCCUGGUGACAUGUCUCUGAUGCAGAAAAAUACUAAUAUGAAUACUGGCAAAUUAUUGUUCUCAAACCUGAAUGAUAAGUAUUAGUUUUGUUUUCUAUUCCUCAUAAUUCGAUGCACUUCUGAGAAGUUUGGGGAAAGAAACCCACACAUUGCAUUUAAAAGUGAAAAAUGACAAUCAGUAAUUAUUUCUCUUGCAUCUCUUGUGCACAGACUUGACUUAUAUAGUUAGCUAAUGCUUCUCUGUUUAAUAUAACAAGUUAAAAGUGAAAAGAGAGAUAUCUGACUCCAUUUAUUUUUCAAAAACCAAUUUUUAAACUUGUGUAAGUUCAAAUUCUUGUGAAAUGCUCCCUCAUUUUGAAACCUUAUCUCUGGCUUCAAGCAUUUUUCCUUUAGGCAAAUUUAGGACAUCAGCCAGCAUGAGAGAAGGGAUAAUUCAGGCAAGUAAACUCAUUGAUACCCAAGAAAUGAAACUACUUGCUUUUCCUACAGAUAGUACUGAUGCCACCCACCUCUGAGCUGGCUGUCUGCCUUUGAAAUUAUCAACCUCAGCAAUACAGCAGAGUCCCUAAAAUUGGUCUCGCCUGUGUACCAUCCUUAAAGUAUAUAUGGGAAAUUUCCAGUGAACUUUGGAAACUACCAGAUGAGAAUACUCAUUUUUAAUUUUGUUAUUAAUGUCAGGAUGUCAAUAAGGAGUCUUUCUCCUCAUUGGGCCCAACAUGAUACCAACCUUGUCAUCUUAUUAUGUGUUCCUACCCAGCACUCUUUUUCAUUCUCCAUGGCAAUAUCAAACCUUCACAUUCCCAGUGUAUUUCUCAACCCUGUCUACACGGAUAACCUUACUUCCUUCUUCAAAAAGAAAAUCAGGAGUUCCCGUUGUGACACAGCGGAAACGAAUCCGACUGGGAACCAUGCGGUUGGGGGUUCGAUCCCUGGCCUAGCUCAGUGGGUUAAGGAUCCGGCAUUUCCAUGAGCUGUGGUGUAGGUUGCAGACAAGGCUUGGAUUCUGUGUUGCUAUGGCUCUGGCAUAAGCUGGCAGCUGUAGCUCCAAUUCAACGAUUAGCCUGGGAACCUCCAUAUGCUGUGGGUGCGGCCCU